GAUGAACGCUGGCGGCGUGCCUAAUACAUGCAAGUCGAGCGAACAGACGAGGAGCUUGCUCCUCUGACGUUAGCGGCGGACGGGUGAGUAACACGUGAAUAACCUACCUAUAAGACUGGGAUAACUUCGGGAAACCGGAGCUAAUACCGGAUAAUAUAUUGAACCGCAUGGUUCAGUAGUGAAAGACGGUUUUGCUGUCACUUAUAGAUGGAUCCGCGCCGCAUUAGCUAGUUGGUAAGGUAACGGCUUACCAAGGCAACGAUGCGUAGCCGACCUGAGAGGGUGAUCGGCCACACUGGAACUGAGACACGGUCCAGACUCCUACGGGAGGCAGCAGUAGGGAAUCUUCCGCAAUGGGCGAAAGCCUGACGGAGCAACGCCGCGUGAGUGAUGAAGGUCUUCGGAUCGUAAAACUCUGUUAUUAGGGAAGAACAAAUGUGUAAGUAACUAUGCACGUCUUGACGGUACCUAAUCAGAAAGCCACGGCUAACUACGUG
rnacentral:rRNA from 1 species